rnacentral:misc_RNA from 1 species
CAAAAGACCAUCCUUUUGAUCUCCUCUAAAAUUUGGUUCAGAAUGGAUAGCACGGUCAUAACUCAAAAGACGCUCUUUUGUAAUUCCGUUCUCAUUCAGGGUUUUCCAAUAAACACCAAUAUCAAAAUCACUCUUGAUGUAGUCAAUCAGUGCCUGACAGAUCACAACAUCAUCAGGACUAGUGUUAUUAUGCAAUUUCUGAUGCCAUUCUUCCAUCAUACCACCCUUGCAGUCAUUUUUCCUCUGGAUGACCAAAAUUUCGUCCCUAAUUCGCUGUCCUACAUCCCCUUCACCUCCACGUCCAACAGUUGACAUAAUCAUCCGCAAAGUUUCACGGUACUGAGGAUGACUGGUGAAAGCAUUCUGCAGCAAGUCUGUAAGUCUGUCCUGAGCCUUGCUUAUUUCACGUGGUUUCACGUUAUAGUUUUUGUUCCAUAUCAGCUGCCUUGUAGCCAUGAACCUCAUCCAUACAAGAAUUCCAGCAAAACCAAGUUCACCAGCACUAGUGGCGUCUUCCAUCAAGUCAGCCGCAAUAUUAAACCGGUGCAUAAAUGACUUCUGAGCCUCACUUUCCAUAUCUGCUAUUUUAUCCAGUAAAGACUUUGCAGUUCCACUGCCAUCCCCAGCAGCCUUGAGUGCUAAUUUGGAUGCAGCACUGAAGUCAACAUAGAAAUCCGACCCUUGGUUUUUAAUCCAUUUUUCACCAGAAAAAAGAACAAAUGGCAUCCCCACAAAAUUGCCAUCUUCAAUUACUAUAUCCAAAGAUUGUACCUUAGAAGUUAGACCAUCAGAAGAACUGACUGAAAAAGGUGUUUCGGCAGCCUUGUCUAAAACAAUUGACCCGGGAGGCAAUAUGCUUGAAGGUGGUACCAUCCACUCUCCAGGACUUCUGGAUAAUGCCCAGUGAAGAGUAAUUGGCUGAUUCAGAUCUGUAGCUAGAUGUACUUUUGUCUUCCCAGAGGACUUCGCUACCAGUACCAGUAGCUCCCCAUCAUCGACCUUAAAGAUCUUUUUAUUUAGGAUCGGAUCAUCAACCUGCUCCUCCUUCUCCUUGGCAUACAACUUAAUUUUAGAUAAGGCUGGUGGUUCUUCCAAGACCUUCUGUACUUGUACUGCAGGACUGGAAGGAUACUUAUUAAUAAGCUGCCCAAAGUCUCUCUUCUUUCUUUGGAUUCUUUCAACGGCAAAAGAACUUCUUUUCAGGUGCUUUUCCACCUUAGUUUUUAUCUCCCCUUUUGUAAUCUUUUUCCGCAACUCAUCAAGGGUAAUGCCUUUCUCAAGCUCAAGUUGCAAUUCUCUUCUUGCUUCUUCGAGUUCUUCAAUUUGCCUUUCUGGAGGAUAGUUUGGCUUUCCUGCUUUCUCCCACCUAAUGUAAGCUUGUACUUGGGCAAGGUCAUCAGGUAUAUCACUCUCUGUGACAUGAGGAGGCUCUUCUUUGCUUUGACUUUUAUCAUUAGUUUUUGUUAGCCUUGCUCGAAUGUCCUGUAUGGAAGCACCACGAGCUAUUUCCUCCUGUAGCUCAGUUCGAGCAGCCUCAUAUUCCUCCUUCUCUUUCUCAGGAGUGUAAUUCUGUUUUCCCUUCCUUUCCCACCUCAAAUAUGAUUGGAUCUGUACAAGCUCCUCAGGAACUGAAACAUCUGGACCUCGUAUCUCUUUUCUUGAUAAUUUGACACGAAAAUUACCACCAUUAUUCUUUAUCCAUUUAUCUCGGGCUUCAUCAUAUAUGAGAAACUCAAUAGCUUCGAUAGCAGUGUCCAGUAUCUCCAGUCUCAGGAUGGAGUUAGAGCCGGAUUUAACAAAUGGAGUCCUAAGUGCUUUGUUCUUGUACACUUUGGUUCCAUCCGGACAAUCAUUAGGAAGAGACCAUGUUUCUUUCCCGAACUUUACUGCCCCCCAGUGCAAAAACAGUUUAUCACUACCAUUUGUAACUUGAAAAUCCACGAAGGACGCAUCAUCUGAAGUGGGAGGCCUAACAUCAACCUGUAGCUCAAUAUUCCCUUCUAAACUGAACUUUUCUGCUAGCUCAGAAGAGGUAUCAGUGGUAAGUAGAGCAUGAGGAUAAGUAGAAAAAGCACGCUUCUUUCCCAUUGGUAUUUUUUUGUUUUUCUGCACUCUUAACCUGUUACCUCGAAACUCAGUUGAUAAAGGUGAUUUCGAGAUCACUUGCUGUUGAAAUAAAGAAUUGCCUCCAACACAAGGAGGAGUGAUUCUACUUUUAUGUUCCAAUACAGUUGAGGUUAGGAAUCCCUGGUACAGCAAGUUAUUCCCUAAGGAAUUACUCAUCUUCUCACACUGCUCAAAUUCAGCUUAGAUUGGAG